rnacentral:sRNA from 1 species
GCUGGGCAUGGUGGCACACGCCUGUAAUCCCAGUGGCUCAAGAGGCUGAGACAGGAGAAUCGCGAGUUCAAAGCCAGACUCAGCAAAAUCAAGGUGCUUAGCAACUCAGUGAGACCCUGUCUCCA